GGAACGAGUUAUCUGAACCUUCGGGGGACGAUAACGGCGUCGAGCGGCGGACGGGUGAGUAAUGCCUGGGAAAUUGCCCUGAUGUGGGGGAUAACCAUUGGAAACGAUGGCUAAUACCGCAUAAUAGCUUCGGCUCAAAGAGGGGGACCUUCGGGCCUCUCGCGUCAGGAUAUGCCCAGGUGGGAUUAGCUAGUUGGUGAGGUAAGGGCUCACCAAGGCGACGAUCCCUAGCUGGUCUGAGAGGAUGAUCAGCCACACUGGAACUGAGACACGGUCCAGACUCCUACGGGAGGCAGCAGUGGGGAAUAUUGCACAAUGGGCGCAAGCCUGAUGCAGCCAUGCCGCGUGUAUGAAGAAGGCCUUCGGGUUGUAAAGUACUUUCAGCAGUGAGGAAGGUGGUGUACUUAAUACGUGCAUCAUUUGACGUUAGCUGCAGAAGAAGCACCGGCUAACUCCGUGCCAGCAGCCGCGGUAAUACGGAGGGUGCGAGCGUUAAUCGGAAUUACUGGGCGUAAAGCGCAUGCAGGUGGUUUGUUAAGUCAGAUGUGAAAGCCCGGGGCUCAACCUCGGAAUUGCAUUUGAAACUGGCAGACUAGAGUACUGUAGAGGGGGGUAGAAUUUCAGGUGUAGCGGUGAAAUGCGUAGAGAUCUGAAGGAAUACCGGUGGCGAAGGCGGCCCCCUGGACAGAUACUGACACUCAGAUGCGAAAGCGUGGGGAGCAAACAGGAUUAGAUACCCUGGUAGUCCACGCCGUAAACGAUGUCUACUUGGAAGGUUGUGGCCUUGAGCCGUGGCUUUCGGAGCUAACGCGUUAAGUAGACCGCCUGGGGGAGUACGGUCGCAAGAUUAAAACUCAAAUGAAUUGACGGGGGCCCGCACAAGCGGUGGAACAUGGUGGUUUAAUUCGAUGCAACGCGAAGAACCUUACCUACUCUUGACAUCCAUAGAACUUUCAAGAGAAUGGAUUGGUGCCUUCGGGAACUAUGAGACAGGUGCUGCAUGGCUGUCGUCAGCUCGUGUUGUGAAAUGGUUGGGGUUAAGUCCCGCAACGAGCGCAACCCUUAUCCUUGUUUG
rnacentral:rRNA from 1 species